rnacentral:rRNA from 1 species
CGUCGCAAGACCAAAGAGGGGGACCUUCGGGCCUCUUGCCAUCGGAUGUGCCCAGAUGGGAUUAGCUAGUAGGUGGGGUAACGGCUCACCUAGGCGACGAUCCCUAGCUGGUCUGAGAGGAUGACCAGCCACACUGGAACUGAGACACGGUCCACACUCCUACGGGAGGCAGCAGUGGGGAAUAUUGCACAAUGGGCGCAAGCCUGAUGCAGCCAUGCCGCGUGUAUGAAGAAGGCCUUCGGGUUGUAAAGUACUUUCAGCGGGGAGGAAGGGAGUAAAGUUAAUACCUUUGCUCAUUGACGUUACCCGCAGAAGAAGCACCGGCUAACUCCGUGCCAGCAGCCGCGGUAAUACGGAGGGUGCAAGCGUUAAUCGGAAUUACUGGGCGUAAAGCGCACGCAGGCGGUUUGUUAAGUCAGAUGUGAAAUCCCCGGGCUCAACCUGGGAACUGCAUCUGAUACUGGCAAGCUUGAGUCUCGUAGAGGGGGGUAGAAUUCCAGGUGUAGCGGUGAAAUGCGUAGAGAUCUGGAGGAAUACCGGUGGCGAAGGCGGCCCCCUGGACGAAGACUGACGCUCAGGUGCGAAAGCGUGGGGAGGCAAACAGGAUUAGAUACCCUGGUAGUCCACGCCGUAAACGAUGUCGACUUGGAGGUUGUGCCCUUGAGGCGUGGCUUUCCGGAGCUAACGCGUUAAGUCGACCGCCUGGGGAGUACGGCCGCAAGGUUAAAACUCAAAUGAAUUGACGGGGGCCCGCACAAGCGGUGGAGCAUGUGGUUUAAUUCGAUGCAACGCGAAGAACCUUACCUGGUCUUGACAUCCACGGAAGUUUUCAGAGAUGAGAAUGUGCCUUCGGGAACCGUGAGACAGGUGCUGCAUGGCUGUCGUCAGCUCGUGUUGUGAAAUGUUGGGUUAAGUCCCGCAACGAGCGCAACCCUUAUCCUUUGUUGCCAGCGGUCCGGCCGGGAACUCAAAGGAGACUGCCAGUGAUAAACUGGAGGAAGGUGGGGAUGACGUCAAGUCAUCAUGGCCCUUACGACCAGGGCUACACACGUGCUACAAUGGCGCAUACAAAGAGAAGCGACCUCGCGAGAGCAAGCGGACCUCAUAAAGUGCGUCGUAGUCCGGAUUGGAGUCUGCAACUCGACUCCAUGAAGUCGGAAUCGCUAGUAAUCGUGGA